GGAGAGGUGGCCGAGUCCGGUUUAAGGCGGCAGACUCGAAAUCUGUUGUGCAGGCGACUGCACCGGGGGUUCGAAUCCCUCCCUCUCCGCCA
rnacentral:tRNA from 2 species